GAACUACUGUUCUUCCAGAUGUUCCUAACAGUGAAAUCAGAGGCAUUUGGUGAAAACCCAGAGUGAGACGGUAAAGGCACCCGCACUGGCUUGGGGUCCAGGUGUCCUAUGAACUGAAAUCACAGCAGCAAAUGGAAAACACGGGGCAUGUGUGUGUUUUAAAAGUAGAAACCCUAUUUUCCUCAGCUCCAUUAGGAUUCAAAGUUCAUUGCCUGCCGGUCUACCUUUGCGGUCUAAUUUUGCUAGAAACUGCUGCUUACAGCAAAGAAAGAACGUCUGGCUACUUUGGUUCACAGCAUAGGCUCUUUCAGCGAGAAGGAAUUAGGAAGAAAAGAGUGAAAAGGAAUUAAGGAGAAGAAAGGAGUCAACUACCUUUGAAAGAGGCCGUUCUGGGAAGAGGUGGUAGAGACCCGCCGGGGUCAUGGUGACAAUCCCCACCGUCACGUAGUGGUCAGCCCGCGCCAUUCACGGCGGCAAGGAUCGUGUGGGAGUUAUAAGAUAGAUGGAGCUGGCCCCUGUGGUUGGGGGAGGGGGCCCGUGAACAGAGGGCUCUUUUUCCUAAUUAGCUGUUUUUAUACAGGGAACACAUGACCCAAACACAACCACCAACUGUGUCUUUGACAUAUACAGGCAGAAAGGGGGAGCUGGGCUUUUGUCUGCCGCAAAUUCUUUCAACUUGUCCGUCACCCAAGCUGCAAAACCCAACAAUGAGUCGGAUGAGCAGGACCGUUGCAGACAGUUUGCUAAAUGGACUUGGAAACAGGUAUUAUUUCAACCCACUUAGGCUUGGAAAAUACUGUAAAAGUGAAAUUGGGUUACUAUCUCCAUCUUUUCUUUCCUAAGAGAUUUGUGACCAUUUCUGCCAUUUGUCUGAGUUUCCGGUGUGUCCCCAAAUAGCACAUGGUUCAAAAAGAAAUAAACACACUUCAAGUUUUUCUUAGUGAUAAAUGCAACCCUUUCGUAGAGCCCUAACUGUUCUACUGCCCCAACUUCCUUUGUCACAUUAACUUCAUAUGAACCAAUGAAUUUCAAAGAAUACUGCCAAGUGAAUUACUUUCCCCGUUGAAUGAAGGGUACUCAGUAAUAUACAUAAUCAGUUUAAGACCCAGCAAACUGAAGAAUAAGGGACAAAGCGAAAAGGGAUGCUGGCUUUGUGGAUGCAUGUUAUGUAUGUAUAUCGACAGGUGCGAUCCUGUUGAUUCUUUGAUUUUGAAGCAAUGAAAAAAAUCUCAAAUAUUUUUCAAACAUUCGCCUAACUGAAAGCAGUUAUGCACAAGUGAUUUUCCCAGAACCAGAGGUAACAUGUGCUAACACUAAGUAGGCCGAGCUGGAAGUCAUCAAAACGCCAUGCUUGAGGGCACUGCCCAGGUAGCAGCCACCAGAGCACUUCCAUCCGCGGCUCAGAGAGGACGACCCCCAUCUGUAGCCAUGGCGCAGGCCAGCGCAGAGAACUUCCCAGUGCGGAGAUUAAAGAAAUCUACAACAAAACACUUCUCCAACUGGGGAAACACAGUCUUUCAUGGACAGAGCUGUUUAGAAAAAAUAGUGCCGCCUUUGUUUCACUACAUACUCGCUCCGUUGUAUAGCACAACUGGAAAAUGGUGACAAGACCAUAAAAAGCUGGGUGGAAAAGUGUCAAAUUAAACCCAGAGUGAAACCCAGAGCUGAUUGGCUUAAUUGGAGAUAAUGGGAAAUGAAACCACAUCUCUGCCUGCAAACGAAAAUAGUGAGCAAGACGCAAUUACCCAGAAAACGUACCAACAGCCCUUUGCCGAAAUGCCUAGAAAUGUGAGGCCAAAGCACUUUGAGAUUUCAAAUGUCUGGAUGAUGCCUUAAAGUUUCCCUUCACUUUGCUAAUGAUGACCUGGACCCAAUGCAUCAUCCAUUCUUUCCAGUGACAAGUAGAAAACCAGGUCCCACAACGCAGCAUAGCAAUCACCCCAAGUUGGUGUUAGGUUCCUGCCUGCAGACCAUGAUAAGCGCCCCUGGGCAGAGAUUUCCAGGCCCGUUUACAAUGGAAGCAGCAGGUGUGUACUUGGGUAGGGAGGUGAGGAGGACCCAAGGGAAAAAGAACGUAAAAGUCCCCUUCUAGGGAUCCGACUGGCGCACACUGUUAAAGAAGCUUUAGCCACUCUCCCCACUGCUGGAGCGUCAAUCGAGCCAUGUGCAAAUGUUCAAACUCAGAGGCUUCUUCUGCUUCCCAGUCUUGGGAAGUGCACACAGUGGAAUUCUGCAAAAUAGUCCCCGGAAGCAGGAUUCACUGGGGACACCCGGCAACGGGGGUGCACAAACAGUGCUAUCUACUCCUCUUUAAGCUCAGAUAGUACUCUCUGUGUGAGAAACUGCAUUUUCCAAUUUGCAUGCUUUUUAGCACGCAAUGCCAUCUUUCUCCCCGGAAGUCCUGAUGAUGAUGUGUCCUUCCAGAACACACACAUUUCAGGGUGAUGUCCUUGUGGGCCCAGGGACAGGAAGUGAGAUCACGGCUGGGUCUGGAGAGGUGGACUUCACGCAUGAAACCCAGAGAAACAGGGUUAGGAUAUGAGGAGGGCUGGGGCGGCCUUACCAAAGCUGGGGGCACUAUGCAAGGUCAUGUCCCGGAUCACCCUGGUGCCGAAACAGGACCACAUCAGGAGGAACUGCUGGGCCACUUUCUUCAGGGACCCUUGUCUCUUGGCAGCCACCUACAAGAAAGUGAACGGCUUAAACAGGGGUCAAUUCAACCUUUCCUUUAUGACUGUCUGUCUGAAAAAUGAUAGGAAGGCUUAUGGAUCUCCAAGUUCAAUGCUAUGGAACAAUGGCUUUUUGACUUUCUGUUUCUACCAGCAAAAAUUCACUUUAGAAAAUGAAAGCUGAUGUUGGGACCCAGUUUACACCGCAGACGAAAGAGAGACGCUGACCUGGCUGAAUCAGGGGAAGGAGACUCAGGGUCCUGCCUCCUGCAACCCCCGCCUCCGGAGGGGGCCCAGGCCUCUGCUCAGAACCCCAGGGCUCCACGGCUGCUGAGGAACGCUCAGACAGCUCAGUGCGGGGCUCUGCAUCUCCCAAGUGCCACGAAGGUGAGUGUUGGGGGGCAGUGCCGGGGCUGCUCCUCCCGCUCCAGCUUACCAACCUUCACAACACACCGGUCCACCAUGGUGUCUAGCCACUCGAUGUAGGACUCGAUGGGAGACUGCUCCUCCAGGAGGUGGUCAAACUCCUGGUACACUGUCAAACAAAGGAGAGCCCCCACACGUCACUGCAGCUGUGUCUACACAGAGCCACAGCUUAAAAGAUCAAAGGAAUAAAACUGAAUAAAAACAAAACUCCAGCCUCAACGGAGCACUCAGACUUCAGAAAGCACGCCCCGACUUACCUUUCCAGGCUCAUCUUCGCAGCCUGUGAACACCGGAAAGCCCGGCUACCAUGGAUAGCUUGCGUUCCCCCCAACAAACCCUGCUUUUCUCAGGCAGUUCCCUUCGCUCGGACCGUCUGGUUCCUCAGGGCCCAGCCCAGCCAAAAUGGCCCUUCUUGUGACAUCCUUUUUCCCCUCCCCGGGCCCCUCGCCAGCAGAACUGAUCGCUCAUCCUCUGUGCUUCCACGGCAUUUUAUUAUCCGUAUUCCACCUUUACUGCAUCACUGAUGCUGUGUUACGGUUGUGAGGGCGGGGGUGUCUCCCAUGCCAGCUCUCUGUCCGACCUCUUUCUUAGCUAGGGCCGUCCCUAGCCUCACACAGCCGUUAUCCAGGACGUGCUUCCUUGCGCGAACGGGCACAGACAUUGCAGCUCCCUUGCUCUCUGCCUCAUGGUAGGGCUUCUGAACCACAGCUAUGUUGGGCAAAUAGCUCUAACCAGCCUCUCGGAGCUUGGCAUGUAGCAGAUGCUUACUCAUUGUUCACAGCGUAAAGGAGACAAUCUCCACGCCCUUAGUUUCUGCACUAGUAACAGGAGGACCACUGUACCACUGAUAACCUGUCUUCAGCUGCAUGUCAGGUAACUGAGUCUGGAAGGGCUGUGUGAUUGGUGAAGUCAGCAGAAAACAGAAACACUGCUGUGGUUUGGAACAUCUCUUCUGAUUGCCGUUUCUGUGGUUUGGUUUUUUUUUUUUUUACACAUGUGGAGCUCAGUAAACCAAACCAUGCAUUCAGACCCACAUGUUUCUAGAGUUUUAAAUUUGCCUGGGCGGUUUCUGUCGUCCCAUUCUGUGGGCCUGGCCAAUGCAUUCCAUUUUCCUGAGCUGAGGACUGCCACGGAGGUCAGCCGCCGGGGCCAGGAGAUCCAGACAGUUUAGAAUGAGAAGGGGCUGAAUGAGAAGUCCGCUGAAUUGGUAUCUGCGUCCUCUUAUGGACGAGGAACCUAUGUCCCAAUGAGAUUAAGUGACCCCUCAAAGGCAAAGGGUGGUGAGGCAAAUGCUUGCGGCUGACAUUUAUGGGGUUCUUGCUGUGUGCCAGGCACUUCCCUAAUGACACGGACACUCUCACCCCACCUACAGCAAUCUUGAGAAUGUGAUACAGCAGUUGCUCAAAUGUUUGUUGAAUGAACGGAUGAACAACCUGAGAAGGCAGGUAUGAUUUCUACUUCCCAUUUUACAGAUGAGGAAGUGGAGGCACUCGGAGGUGAGUGACUUUCUGCAGGUCUCACAGCUAGCGAAUAGGAGAGGCAGGUUUCAAACACAGCCUGACUCGACACUCGCCUCCUAACCCUGGCACUGUAUCGGCUCCACACUGUGUGCCAGGCACCCACACGGUGCGCAUGCUGCCCCAUUUAAUCCCUCCACACUGUCCCCGUGUCAGAGACUUGGAAGCCAGGGUCACAGUACACUGGAGCCAGGGUUUGAAUCAAGGUCUGCUGGGCACCCCGACUGUCUGCUCUUACCACAGUUAUUCUCAUCAGUCUGCCCAAGUCCUGAUGUGCACUUGUGAAUUAAGGGGAGCCUUCCCAGGCAGGGCCUGAUUCACAGAGGUGAUGGAAACCCCCCUGAAGCAGGAACGUGUAGGUUUGACAACUAGCUGUAAGGAAAGGUCGAUGCACACACACCAUUGGUGCAGCACACAGCUGUGUUCAGGAACUUACUUCUCAGCUGUCUGGUGGGCGCUGCAGGAUGACGCUUGUGUGCCAGGCCACCUGCCUUGAGGGCUGGUGCCCUUGCUCAAUCCCCCCUGUUCCAGGCACUGCAUCAUAUGGCAUGUCCUCUUUGGAAACGUUCAACCAUUUGUAAAUUACUUGUUUGAUUUCUGAUUGGCCAUUAGCUUCCCAUUACAUGGGAAGGGCAGUAUCCAUAUUAUUCACUGCUUUUUGUCCAGCUUCUAACACAGUGCCUGGCCCAGGACAGGCAUUCAGCAAGAACCAGCUAGGUGGACUGAACCUCGUCACCCCCUUCCAUUAGAAGAAGAGUAUGAUCAUGGGUCUAAAAGGUACCGUUCGAUCCCGGGCCUAAGAGAACUUGAAGAGAAAACUCCCCAAAGUUCCUUCUUGGAGACGCUGCAGUAACAUCCGAGGGGCUCCAGCAAAGGCUCAGAGCCUGGUCCCCAAAGCAAGUGAUGGUGACUUUCCCCUGUGCAUUUCCCCUUUGUUUUCCUCCACAAAAGGUGCUGAGUGGGGAAGACAGCGGGGUCUCAUGCUAUUGGGAGUCGUAUCAUUCUGGGUUUCUGCUCAUCUGUUUGGUCCUGCAUAGACAUUACUGGCACCUGUCCAUGGCUGGCCUGGGACGAGACCCUGGGGACACAAUGUUCAGGGGUACGGCUAGUGCUGUUAGGGGGCAGACACCAGUGCUUUCCAUUGGCCUUGUAGCGGGCAAUAGGGACAAACAGGACAGGAGGCAUGAUUGCAAGAACUUGGAAAGACCCUGCAGCUUCUGGGACUUGCCCAUAUCUCAUCAUUUUGUCUCCUCUGCUCUUCCCAGCGGGCAACACCAGUACGUGGUGGUGACAUGCAGGUUUGAGCGCAGCCCUGUCGCCUGGGGUGAGGCUGAACACUCUCUGGGACUGAGUCUGGUCCUCUGUAAAACGGGGGUGGUGGGUAUCUUCCCCAUGGGCUGAUGUAGAGAAUUAAUGAGAUCCCGAGUGUGGUAGGUCUGACACAGACUAGGCAGUCCGUGAGCUCAGUCAUUAUUUUCGGGAGCAUCUCUAAAGCUCUUACCAGGGGAAAGCAGGCUGGGGGCUGCUGUGGAAGAUGGGACAGUGCCCAUGGAGCUCUGGGGAAGAAGCCCUAGGGAAGGUCCAAGGGGUUCAGGUUUCAGCUGUUCCAGGUGCUUUUGGAAAGGGCUCAGUGGGAAAGAGGCCCCCAACAGGAACUUCCUUUUUUAUAAACGCCACAUGCGUAGGCUGGCUGAAGAAGGUUCCCUCAAGAGGACACACAGAAGGCAUAUACUGGAAAUCUGAGGGGCCUGGGGCUCUUGGGAGAACAGACCCCCCUUCUCGGGACACAGCCACUGUGCAGCUUCCUGAAUAAUGUACUGUCAGGAUCUGGGGCCUCACCCCACUCGGAAGGUAAGAGCACCCCAGCUGUCACAUCCCCCCCACCUCCAGCCAUACUCAGCACCCACCUUCCUGAGAGCUGGUGGGAGGAGUGUGGACUCACCGUUCCAUACUCCUCUCCUCCAGAGGCAUGAGAAAGGAAGGCUGAGCACUGAGGAAGUUGCCAGUGGGCCCCCAUCUGGGGCGGCCGGGUGCAGGAUGCCCUGGGCAGCAGGCUGUGGGGGCGUUUGAGGAACAGCAGAGAUGUGCCGACAGCGGUCAUGGUCUCUGGCCUCCUCAAGUCCUCCACUACUAAGAACAACCAACCUGACCUUAUCCAGAGAACACGAGGAGCGGUAUUCCUCCAGUCUUGGUCCACAGGGACGUGAACAUAUAUGCACAGAGAAAAGACACAAUCCUUGGUGGAACAUCUUACACUGGAUGAUGAGUUUCCGGUGCUCGUCGCGGGAGUCUUCCAUGGUGUAGAGGGUUUGCUUGGUGAUGCUGUUGAGAUCCACGUUCCUCCAGUCUUCCAGCAUUUGGAAUGUGAUGUCUGCACUGUGGAUUACUGUCCGAGAUGCCUAUAAUCCAAUCCAAUCAACUCAUUAGCUCAUGGGUUGUUAGGUUAAAACCCCUGCAUGUUAUUUUCUUUUUAAUGAAUCUGAAUAUGGUAUUUUGCAAACUACUUUGAAAUUAACUAAGGAAAACUCAAUUUCAGGAAAUCAGCAGAUAAGCCCAUAACUCAGAAGACCCAUACACUCUUUUCCCUUGUGGCUCUCUUUUCUCGUCUUUAUAAAACAUUACUCCAGGGUGGCCUAGGCUAGACCAAACCCUGCUGUUCCCAGUCCCUUUGGUCUUGACCCCUGGGGAACAAUGGGAUGAAGCCCAGAGAUCUGUCAGCCUUCUGAUGUAAGCCUGUGGGAUGGGAGCUCUGUGCUUAAUGAUGUGUCUCUGGUGCCUGAGAAGCAACGGGCUCAGACCUGGGAAUGGACCUGCUACCCGUGGGCCUAUGGUAGCUUUAAUCCCCCAAAUUUUACAACGUGUGUUUUUCAUAUGAAUGCAUUCUGAAGCAGUUUAUGGUCUGGCUUUCUAUUUUUGCUUUUUGGUUUUUAGGUAACUAUAGUGAUGAAAACAAGUAUGAAUAACUGAGAGGGAAGGAAAGGGAGACAACACCUUAAGACUCAGUUGCUUAUUAAUAUGUAUGUGGUGUGUGUGUGUGUGUGUGUGUGUGUGUAUGUGCACGCGCAUGUGCAUGCACGCACAUGCUCCAGCACAGGCUUAACCUGUGGUUUCCUCAGCAAACCCUCAUGACUGGAAAACUUAAAUUUGCAAGUUGGAACAAUAUUUGGAACCACCGAGUUGGAACAAUACUAAUAAAAGUAAAGAAACAUUUCCAGAAUCAUCUCCUUCACCUGCAUAUUUAAAAAAAUGUCUUUAUAAAAUGGAAAACAAAAGAUUUCCAAUACACAAUGGACAUUAAAAGUCUCUUAAUGCUUGUGAAUUUCCAGACAAAGGUAAAUACUGACAACCCCUUUUACCCCCAAACUGUCCAAGGACAAGUAAACUCCUGCUUAAAUCACUGCAGAACUCUUUGAAGGUCAGAGGCCUAAACUAUAUGAAUAUAUGAAUUGGGUUAGUCUCUAAUGAUAAUCAAAACAACUAAAUGUAAUGGUCUGGUAUUCUGGACUAAAAUAUACUUAGUUCAAAUCCUGGCCUUGCUGCUAACCAACUGACUGAUUUGGGGCAGGCUAACAGAUUCAUCUCCGUUGCCUGAUCUAUAAAAUGGAGAUGUCCUAGUGUCUGCCUCUUAAGGAGGGGUGCCUUAAGAUAACGUUUGAGAGAGCAUCAAAUCCUAACCACUAGACCACCAGGGAACCUUCCCUGAGAUAAUGUUUGCAAAGGGCACAGUUUAGGGGGUAAGAACUCAAUAAAGGAGCUGUUGUUAUUUGGAUCUGUUCUCUUUGUGGUGAGGCAGGGACACAUCAGGGCCGUGGCACCUGGCAUCCCUGCCAGCUAGAGGUUUCUUCUCUCACCCUGCCAUCACGUCACAACUGAAAUGUCACACCCACGGACAGGCCUUCUCUAAGCACUCUAUCUAAAUUGGACUUACAUGCUCCAUUACUCUCUAUUUCCACUUUGUUUCCUUCCUAACGCUUAUCACUUUUAAUUGGUUUUCGUUUAAAUGUUUUUGUUUUUGUUUUUCUGCUGAGGGCAAGUAUCACUAAACACAGUGUCUGGCAUACAGGAGGCACUCAAAAGACUUUGUGGAAUGAACCGUUGAGCUAGGAAUGCCAAGUUGCUUGCUUAGUGUAUCUGAAAGGGCCUGGGUAUUUAGAGCCUGGGUUUAAGUGUUACUUGUAUGUGUUUAGGAAAGCUCGCUGGCAUAUUAGUCAAGAUGUUCGAUGGUGUUUCAUUCCUAUCACCAGCCCCAGUUCCUUUGGGCGAUCCAGAAAUGUGUCUGAGCGCUGUCCUGUGAAGACGGAAACGUAGCAUUCAUACGAAUUAAAAUAUGCACUGUCUGUGUGGGAAGUGGAGAGAGUGCACAGGUGUGUGCAGAUGGCUGUAGGUACAGAUAUGGAUGUUUUUACCUAUGCGUGCAUUAAAGGGUCAAAGGCUUUCCUAAACUGUCUGAGCUGAGGAUGGAGACACCAAAGCCAUGCCUAGUUCUCUGAUACAUCCCAAGCCCAGCUCUUCCGAGCUGGGUAAAGAACCAGAAGGCAUACAACCUUGGACAUAUGGCAGUGUUUUUCUAUUUUGCCAAUAUUUGUUUUCUCUCCCAAAUCCCACUAAUCUGUCAGCCUCUGCCCCAUCCUGAACAGUGCCCAGGUAUGGCCUCUCUCCCAGGCAGCAGAAACACAGAAGCGUUUCCCUCUGGUUUUCAAACCACCCACUGUGCCAUUUACACCAGGGGCAGGGCAGGAAGAGUGAGUGCUUGUGGGUGUAGUUUUGUAUUUUCGAGGUCCCGGCCGGGAGGCUUCCUUCAGGCCACUCUAAGCAGAAACCCCUUCCUUCAACCUUGACCUUGAAUAACUGGCACCAACCCAGAACAAGCAGUGUAAGGGAGAGGAGGCAAACCCAACACAGAGAGGGCAGGCAAGUGACAAUGUGAGUGAGGUGGGCCAGCCAAGUAUGAGAGGAAGUGGGGCUGACAGGGAGCACAGUGCCUGCUGGGGAGCUCAGCCCAUCCACUUGAUCCCUGACCUCAGAAAUGUGGUGCUAGGGCUGUUUUGCUAUCAUCUCCCAGUUUCAACUUUUAAUAAGGAAGCAAAAACAAGUUUGGAACACAUGCAAACCACCCACCUGAGGGCCCAUCUGCAGCCACCAGUUUGCCCCUUCUGCUUUAACAUCAUUGAUAUUUCUUUUUAAAUGUAAUGUUUAUUUUUGAGAGACAGAGAGAGAGAGA